UUGGCCGUAGCUCAGCGGCAGAGCAUCUCGCUGUGGACGAGAGGGUCACCGGUUCGAAUCCGGUCGGUCAACCCA
rnacentral:tRNA from 1 species